UUUCACGUCUUUUUCUCUCUCUCUUUUUCUUCUUUUCAUCAUUUCCAACUUCCCUCUCUUCUCUCUUCUCUCUCACUUUGUCCUUUUCGUUUUCUCAUCUUUUCAUCUUUUCUCAACUGCCUCUCCCCCACUCUUUUUUCUUCUAUCUAUUUCCAAAUUCUUCAAAUCUAAACCCCAUCAAAAUAAUCUAAAUAAAAACAAAAGUGAUUUGAGUUUUAUGUGUCCGCGGGAAGGAACCCAAGACUGGAUGCCGGAGCAAAUGCGGCGGUGAACGUGGAAAGCUUGUUUUUUUUAAUGCACAACCGGUCGGUUCAGUGUCAACUCGGCCGGUUCACCGGUUUUGAGAAAUAUCGGACGGUUUUGGCCGGUUUCCACUAGAUCUGGAGCAUAUCUGGUACAAAUGUUGUCCCGUACCAGUAAAGGACUCGGUUCACCGGUUUACCGGUUUUCCGUUUGAACCGGUCGGUACGGUACGGUUUUAUCAACACUGGUUCAUGGUGUUCUAUUACUUAAUUCUUGCCUUUAGAGUAGAAAAUUUAAUUCAAUGCUCACUCGAUGCUAUGGCAUAUGAUUACUUUUGAUACUACCAAGAGUGUCUCCUCACCUUUUUUAGAAAGAAAUUAAUCACUUUCAAGAUUUGUAGCUACACUCACAACAAGUAUCGCUUCUAGGAAUUGAACUUGAACCUUAGAGAUCUAGUUGGGCUUCACCCCACUAUUAAAAGACCUUCUAUGUUUAAGAGAAAAUUUUAAAGGACCUUCUAUGUUUACACCAUGGGGCUCUCGUCUCUUUUAUAUUAAACUAGCAAGUUACCUGUGCAAUAGGACGAUAAUUUUUUGAUGUAUGGUUAAGAACACAUGUAUUAUUACAUUGUUAAUAAUACAUAUGUUACUCGUUCAUUCAUAUAUUUAAAAUAUACAUGUUACUCAUACAUUCAUAAUGUUAAGAACACACAUAUUACAUAUGUAUUCGCAUGGUUAAAAAUAUUCAUGUUACCCGUACAUUCGUAAUAUUAUUAAGAAUACUCAUGUUAAUCGUGCAUUCAUAUUAUUAAAAACACAUAUUACUCGUACAUUCACAUUGAUAAGAACACAUAUAUUACUUUUAUAUUCACAAGGUUAAAAUACAUAUAUUAUUUAUACAUUCGCAUUGUCUCAUAUAUAAGUUGCUGCUCCAUGUUGUUUUAUGUUAGUGUCUUAGUUAUCUUAUAUAAAGCUAUUGUUUGCUUUAUUUGGAUCGCUACUUCAUGAUUUUCUUUGGUGAUUGAAUAUGUGUAAAAGUAAUCAUGUAUGAGCAAUCAUUUAAAUUAUAUUAUAAGAUGUGAAUAUCUAUCUAGCUUCCAAAAAUAAGAACAAAUCUUUAUAUAUGUUACUUUAUUCUGAUUCCAGAAAACUGUUUUAAUGUUUUUCAUCAUUUGCUGGUUAGUGUAUUAUAAUAACUCAUGCCCUUUGAAUUAUUAGCAAAAUCAAUUAGGCAUGGAGAAGCAGUGCUUUUAAAUUCAAUAAUUGAUUGAAUAUUUUAAGCAUAAUGCCUGCAACCAUUCAAAG
rnacentral:lncRNA from 1 species